rnacentral:rRNA from 1 species
GGCCGCAGUAUUUUGACUGUGCAAAGGUAGCAUAAUUAUUAGUUUUUUAAUUGAAAGCUUGUAUGAAGGGUUGGACGAGAUGAAAUCUGUCUUUAUUUAAAUUAAAAUAUAAUUUAACUUUUAAGUAAAAAGGCUUAAAUGUUUAUAAAAGACGAGAAGACCCUAUAGAUCUUUAUUUAAUUAAAAUUUUAACAAUUUAGGAUUAUUUUAAUUUAAAGUUUUAAUUAAAUUUUAUUGGGGUAAUAUAAAGAUUAAAUAAAUUCUUUUUAUUUAUGACAUUGAUUUAUGAAUAUAUGAUCCAUUAAUAUUGAUUAUAAGAUUAAGUUACCUUAGGGAUAACAGCGUAAUUUUUUUGGAGAGCUCAUAUCGAUAAAAAAGUUUGCGACCUCGAUGUUGGAUUAAAAAUUAGCUUGGGUGCAGAAGCUCAAGAUUUUGGUCUGUUCGACCAUUAAAUUUUUACAUGAUCUGAGUUCAGACCGGCGUGAGCCAGGUCGGUUUUUAUCUUUAUUAAUAUAAAAUAUUUUAGUACGAAAGGACCAAAUAUUUAAUAUAAUUAUAUUUAUUUUUUGAAGAAUAUU